GAUCAGCUGAUUAACGGUUUAUUAGAGUGACGUAGCGCGAAUGGAAACGGGAUUAGUGCGGGAGAAGGGAGGGGAGAAGGAAGGAUAGAACGGGAUUUAACGGGAUUUGAGUAAAUAAAGGUAAAGUGGUCGAGCUAGCUUAGCUUAGCUUCACUGUUUAAACCGGGACAUUUUAACGGUUUAUUUUACCUGUUCAAGCCCCGUGGUUCCGCUAGUGUCCGUUAGAUCCCCCUAUCUCUCAUGAUAGGCGGUUUACCGGCUGGAAGAGGACCAAAGUGUUGUUUAUUUCCAGAGGAUCCGGAGCGCUGCUCAGACCGGCGUCAAGCUGGUGGCGUGUAAUCUCAUGAGAGAUAACAGAAGAAGAAUAGCCAGAAGUGACGUCAGCUGUCGACAGUUUAGAGUAAAAUCUUCAGGAAAGUUUCUUCAUGACUGCACGGGUGAGUUUAGCUGAGAGCGGGUGGCAGUGCUGUACUUCGCUAAGAGCGCGGAGCUGAGCGGACUGAAGGUGGAGGAGCUUGUUGCCGUGCCAACACCAAUCAGCAGCAAGGACCUCUGGAGCCUGUUGCUACACCGACACCCCAGGU